AAACUUUCAACCACGGAUCUCUGGGUUCUGGCAUCGAUGAAGAACGCAGCGAAAUGCGAUAAGUAGUGUGAAUUGCAGAAUUCAGUGAAUCAUCGAAUCUUUGAACGCACAUUGCGCCCCUCGGUAUCCCGGGGGGCAUGCCUGUUCGAGCGUCAUUU
rnacentral:rRNA from 1 species